CUCGAGAUGCAAAAUCCUUGCGGAAAGCUUCAGCGUUCCCCGUGACGGAGUCCUCGUCGGAGGCUUCGUUAAAGGCUUCUCUGUCGUCAUCUUUGGGGCAAAACGGAUGACAUUUGAUCCACUCAGAUACGUAGAUAAAAACAGUGCUUUUUUAAAUAAAAAUAAACUUUACUCUUGGUGGACAGAAUGUCGUAAAGCUAUUUUAAAGGCUGACUCAACUGCAGUGUCUCGUUGAAUUCUGAUGCAUGUUUUUAUUUGUCCCGGCUCUUGUGUGUGCAGUGCUUGUUGUUGAUCUCUUUGUACUUACUUUGAAUUGUAAAAAGUGUACCUGUGUACCUGUACUUGAUCUUUUAGCAAUUUGCCUAUUUACAUCCUCCUAGAAUUUUUUCUUGGAACUGUGAACAAGUAUGUGCAUCAAAAAGUAAAAUCCUUUGUAUGUGUACAUAGAUAAUAAUAAUUGGUAUAUAAAGCUGAUUCUAAACUACAAAUGGCAUUUCAAGUAGCAUAACUACAAUGGAGAAAUUAAGAUUGACAGGUCAAAACUGCACAGCACAAAUGCAUGACACUAUCAUACUUUACAUUAAGUGGAGACAGGACUAAGCUUGGGUGACGUGUGUGUGUUAGCCUGAAGCAAAUGACUUACUGUAUUUUACAUUGUGCCACACAGACAAGAACUUUGUCUUCAAUGUUUCCACCUCGUCGCUCCCUU